GGGUUCUACUAUCUGACAUAACAUAUUAUCUACAAGAAUUGAGCAAACUACACAUAUCCUAAUACCAGAUAAAAUGAACGCUGCAUAAUAAACAAGGAGUGACUUGUGCUAGAUUUAAGAACUAACAGGUGCAAGAAAAAAUUCGAAACUUGUGGCAAUAGAAACCCAGUAAAUUAAUCAUGUAAUGAUAUGUGUUUGUCCCACAGCUCCAAAGAGAUACAACAAUAUAAGUGCAAAAUGGUUACUGAUAAAUCAAAAUUUAUUUUCUAGCUUUGAAUGAAAAGUCUAUUCGCUGACGGCCAUCAUGUGAAAGGGAAACUUCAACUUGACCUUCAAACUGUUCAGAAGAUACUAUAAAUUCAUCCAGUCAGAAGAUCUUAUUAAAUCCCAAACUGCUAAGUUAUAUUUCUUUGAUUCUUUCGGAAAACAAUUUGCAAUACGUCCUUUAUAAGGCCGUAAAAUAAGCUUUAUAUGUAAAGCUACUAUUAAACACCUUCCU
rnacentral:misc_RNA from 1 species